UACGGAGGGAGCUAGCGUUAUUCGGAAUUACUGGGCGUAAAGCGCACGUAGGCGGCUUUGUAAGUUAGAGGUGAAAGCCUGGAGCUCAACUCCAGAAUUGCCUUUAAGACUGCAUCGCUUGAAUCCAGGAGAGGUGAGUGGAAUUCCGAGUGUAGAGGUGAAAUUCGUAGAUAUUCGGAAGAACACCAGUGGCGAAGGCGG
rnacentral:rRNA from 1 species